rnacentral:rRNA from 1 species
UACGUAGGGGGCAAGCGUUAUCCGGAUUCACUGGGUGUAAAGGGCGUGUAGGCGGGAAAGCAAGUCAGAUGUGAAAACCAUGGGCUCAACCUGUGGCCUGCAUUUGAAACUGUUUUUCUUGAGUACUGGAGAGGCAGACGGAAUUCCUAGUGUAGCGGUGAAAUGCGUAGAUAUUAGGAGGAACACCAGUGGCGAAGGCGGUCUGCUGGACAGCAACUGACGCUGGGGCGCGAAAGCGUGGGGAGCAAACAGG